ACACUCCUGCGGGAGGCAGCAGUGGGGAAUUUUGGACAAUGGGCGAAAGCCUGAUCCAGCCAUGCCGCGUGCAGGAUGAAGGCCUUCGGGUUGUAAACUGCUUUUGUACGGAACGAAACGGCCUUUUCUAAUAAAGAGGGCUAAUGACGGUACCGUAAGAAUAACACCGGCUAACUACGUGCCAGCAGCCGCGGUAAUACGUAGGGUGCAAGCGUUAAUCGGAAUUACUGGGCGUAAAGCGUGCGCAGGCGGUUAUGUAAGACAGUUGUGAAAUCCCCGGGCUCAACCUGGGAACUGCAUCUGUGACUGCAUAGCUAGAGUACGGUAGAGGGGGAUGGAAUUCCGCGUGUAGCAGUGAAAUGCGUAGAUAUGCGGAGGAACACCGAUGGCGAAGGCAAUCCCCUGGACCUGUACUGACGCUCAUGCACGAAAGCGUGGGGAGCAAACAGGAUUAGAAACCCGGGUAGUCCCA
rnacentral:rRNA from 1 species